rnacentral:lncRNA from 1 species
GUCGGAGGCGAGUACGGCGCUCGCUGUUGCCCCCUGCUGGGCGAGCGUCACCCUGAGCGGCCGCGGGCGCCCGGAAAGGAGUGACUUUCCAGGGUCGCGCGGCCCCGGAUAGAGCGGCUGGGGACAUGGGCUCGCAGGGCUCACGUCUUGGCCGGAAGCCCGCCGUCUCCGCCAGGAGACUCCUUGCCCGGUGCUGCGCUCCUUUGCAGGGCGAGGGCCCCCUUUUAAGGAAACGGUAGACGGUGGACCGUUUGGGGAACAGGAUGGUUUGCAGAGAAUGGGGAUCUGGACGAGAGACAGCAGAUGCUCCGGGGAUGCUGGACUUGGUGCACGGUGGGUUUUCGGGGAGGGCAGGGUGGCCUUGCCUGGAUAUGGGUGUUGGGAAGACAGACACAGGCUCCCGGUCUUCGCUUGGAGAACCGGGGCGGCGGGGCGCGGGAUGUCUGGGGGCGUCUAGGAGGGUGGGUGCCACGGAGAGACUGGGCGACCGCACAGAUGCGGAAACCUCAUCUGGGAUGGUGGGUCCCCCGGGGAGGAGGGGAAGCAGGCCCAGGAAAUAGGACAAAACUGUGAGGAAGGGUGAGUGGGGAUGGAGCUGAGAGAGGGAACAGCUGUGAGCCGCAGGUGAGGAGCCGGCCUCUUCCCUGGGCAGGGAGCCUCCAGCCGGGCCUGAACUGCUGAGUGAAGGCUCCCCGGAGUUACCCACUGGGGAGUGGCAGGGGGCUUCAGGAGAGGGUGCCUGGAGGUGGGACCCCUGUCUGAGUGAGAACGGCCCACAGCAAGUCUAGGUAGACCUUGACUGGGGAUGUGGGUGUGCAGGGCGAGGCCAGUAGAGGAAGAGCCAGCGAGGGAGAGAGGGCAGAGAUCCAGCCGGACAGAGGUUUGCACUCAGGACCUUGGGGUAGGGUGUUUGCUAGCACCAGCCUGGUCAGGUAGGCCUUGGAGGGGUGGUGGCGAGAAUGACAUCGUGGGACGGUAAGAAGGGGGGGCCGUGUGGCUUCAUGUUGAAGCUACAGAGGAGCAGAGGGGACUGGUGAGGCCCCAAGAGAGGCAACAGAUAGGUUUGCAGAGAUGGGGGGUCAGGAGGCAGCACAGCCGGCAGGGCCAAGGGGGUAAGGGGCACCUGAGCCUCCCCCGGGCAAAAUAAAGGUUUUUUUUUUUUUUUCAAGAUUUUAUUUAUUUAUUCAUGAGAGACACAGAGUGAGAGAGAGGCAGAGACACAGAGAGAGGGAGAAGCAGGCUCCAUGCAGGGAGCCUGACAUGGGACUCGAUCCCAGGUCUUCAGGAUCAGGCCCUGGACCGAAGGCGGCACCAAACCGCUGAGCCACCAGGGCUGCCCCAAAAUGAAGGGUUUUGAGGUCAGCCUGAGCUAGGCUCAGAGGACCAGAAAGGCAGAGGAAGAGGGCGUGGGGGUGCAGACAGUACCUGGACAGUCAGGCUGUGAGGUCCCCGAGAAGGUCCCUCGGGUCUCUGGGAUGGGGUAUGGUGGGGCAGGACCCCCUACUCUCCCUCUCCUAGAGCCGGAUGCAGCCAGAAGGUGGCUAACCAGGUCCACUGCAGGACUUGUGUUCAGAGCCUUGCCAUUGGUCAGUGAUGUAGGAGUCAAAGGCAGAAGAAAAGUUAUUGAAUUACUAUUGACAAAUCCUUAAAACAGAGUGAUUUCUCCGAGGAGCUCAGCCGCCUCGGUGUUAGCACUGUGCUGAGGGCAACAGGCAAUUCUAGCUCGGCCCCCAGGACCCUGUGAGUCUACUUGAACAUAUAGAAAUUCUUUUAUCUCUACCCCCCAAGAUACAUGUUGGCGAUCAUCCCCAGGCACAUGGCCCGCAGAUAGACAUCUGAAAGGUGUCAUGACUCAAGUUUAAUGAAACAGUAAUAAAAGAGCUUCUCCUGACAAUAGCCAGCCCCCUCAGGAUCCUGGAAACCUUGCUUCCAAAUUUCUUAGAGACUUAGGCUCUCCCUAACCCCUUCCCAAUUUGAAAGUCUGUAAUAGGCCACUCCUUGUGAUCCCAGUGCAGCCCUUCCUGCCCUCGGGUCCUGUCCCCCUGCUUUAAUAAAACCCCUUUUUUGCACCAAAGAUGUCUCAAAAAUUCUUUCUUGGCUGUCAGCUUUGAGCUCUAUGUUUCCUACAUCAGUCGGUGCCACAGUCUGAGGUGAAAUGGUCAACAGAGCCACCCAAGAGUUCCAAGGAAUGUCUCACAGCUGGGACCAGGGAAGCUUCAAGAAGCGCUGCUCCGGGAGGCUUGCUUGCUCGGGCCUUUCCUGAAGGCCUACCUGGAGAUGGCGGGCAUGGACUUAAGGGAGGGCCACCAAUGCUGGGGCUCUCAGAGGUGCAGACACCUGCCUGAUGUGGAUUGUGCUCCCGCCUCAUGCUCCGUGUAUCUCUCCUUGCAGAGAUGGGGGUCCUGGCUGGUGUCCCCCCAACCUUCAAAGCCCAGAGACCCCCGAUUUGGCUCCAUCUCACUAGCCUGAAGGUCAACUUCCAUGUGAGGGGCCAUCAAGUCUGGCACACAGCAGGGAUGCCAUAAAUCUGGGUCCCCUGGAGAUGGGGGCCUCUAGGGACAGCCACACAGGACAUAGGGUUCUAAGGCCUUCAAGAGGGACCCAUCUGCCUCUGCCACCAGAUGAGGCCCUCCCCACAAAGUACCUUUUGCUUCUGCUGAUGAGUGGGGCACCCUUCUCUUAGCAUCCAAGAUUAUGUCUGCCCAGCAAUUCAAACUUUAUUCUUAGAAAUUAUUUCCAGGGCACCUGGAUGGCUCCGUCAGUUAAGCAUUUGACUCUUGAUUUCGGCUCAGGUUGUAUCUUGGGGUCAUGAGAUUGAGUCCCAUGUCAGGCUCUGCAUUCAGCACCGAGUCACCUUGAGAUUCUCUCUUGUCCUUCUGCCCCUCCC